rnacentral:rRNA from 2 species
CGAACGAGUUCUCGUUGAUGAUCGGUGCUUGCACCGAGAUUCAACAUGGAACGAGUGGCGGACGGGUGAGUAACACGUGGGUAAUGCCCUUAAGUGGGGGAUAACAUUUGGAAACAGAUGAAUACCGCAUAGAUCCAAGAACCGCAUGGUUCUUGGCUGAAAGAUGGCGUAAGCUAUCGCUUUUGGAUGGACCCGCGGCGUAUUAGCUAGUUGGUGAGGUAAUGGCUCACCAAGGCGAUGAUACGUAGCCGAACGGUUGAUCGGCCACAUUGGGCUGAGACACGGCCCAAACUCCUACGGGAGGCAGCAGUAGGGAAUCUUCCACAAUGGACGCAAGUGAUGGAGCAACGCCGCGUGAGUGAAGAAGGCUUUCGGGUCGUAAAACUCUGUUGUUGGAGAAGAAUGGUCGGCAGAGUAACUGUUGCCGGCGUGACGGUAUCCAACCAGAAAGCCACGGCUAACUACGUGCCAGCAGCCGCGGUAAUACGUAGGUGGCAAGUUAUCCGGAUUUAUUGGGCGUAAAGCGAGCGCAGGCGGUUUUUUAAGUCUGAUGUGAAAGCCCUCGGCUUAACCGAGGAAGCGCAUCACUGGGAAACUUGAGUGCAGAAGAGGACAGUGGAACUCCAUGUGUAGCGGUGAAAUGCGUAGAUAUAUGGAAGAACACCAGUGGCGAAGGCGGCUCUGGUCUGUAACUGACGCUGAGGCUCGAAAGCAUGGGUAGCGAACAGGAUUAGAUACCCUGGUAGUCCAUGCCGUAAACGAUGAAUUAGGUGUUGGAGGGUUUCCGCCCUUCAGUGCCGCAGCUAACGCAUUAGAGC